CUACGGGUUGCUCCAGGCGCGAAACCUUUACAAUGUACGUAAGUGCGAUAAGGGAACUCCCAGUGCUCAUGUAAUGCAUGGGCUUUUGUUAAGUGUAAAUAGCUUGGCGAAUAAGUGGUGGGUAAGACGGGUGCCAGCCGCCGCGGUAACACCUGCGCCACGAGUGGCAUUCACGUUUACUGGGCCUAAAGCGUUCGUAGCCGGAUAGAUAAGUCUUAAGUGAAAUCGUUGCGCUUAACAAAACGACGUGCUUGAGAUACUGUUUAUCUAGGGACCGGGAGGAGUUAGGGGUAUUCCAGAGGGAGCGGUAAAAUGCUGUAAUCUCUGGAGGACCACCUGUGGCGAAGGCGCCUAACUAAAACGGGUCCGACGGUGAGGAACGAAAGCCAGGGGAGCAAAACGGAUUAGAUACCUGGUAGUC
rnacentral:rRNA from 1 species